GAGGCAGCCAGUGGGUCCAGGGCGAGGCUUUGCCAUUGCACAUCGGCUUAGCUGACCCUUGCGAUUACCCCAAAUGUGGGUAACUCGGUCGUAUAAUUUCUGGUAGUGGGGACUGCGUUCGCGCUAUCCCCGU
rnacentral:snRNA from 1 species